rnacentral:rRNA from 1 species
CAGCCGCCACGGGAAUACGAAGGGGGCUAGCGUUGUUCGGAUUUACUGGGCGUAAAGCGCACGUAGGCGGAUCGAUCAGUCAGGGGUGAAAUCCCAGAGCUCAACUCUGGAACUGCCUUUGAUACUGUCGAUCUGGAGUAUGGAAGAGGUGAGUGGAAUUCCGAGUGUAGAGGUGAAAUUCGUAGAUAUUCGGAGGAACACCAGUGGCGAAGGCGGCUCACUGGUCCAUUACUGACGCUGAGGUGCGAAAGCGUGGGGAGCAAACAGGAUUAGAUACCCCUCGUAGUCCCUGUCUCUUAUU